rnacentral:rRNA from 1 species
UUUGAUCAUGGCUCAGGAUGAACGCUAGCUACAGGCUUAACACAUGCAAGUCGAGGGGAAACGACAUCGAAAGCUUGCUUUUGAUGAGCGUCGACCGGCGCACGGGUGAGUAACGCGUAUCCAACCUGCCCACCACUUGGGGAUAACCCUGCGAAAGUAAGACUAAUACCCAAUGAUAUCCCACGAAGGCAUCCGAAUGGGAUUAAAGAUUUAUCGGUGAUGGAUGGGGAUGCGUCUGAUUAGCUUGUUGGCGGGGUAACGGCCCACCAAGGCUACGAUCAGUAGGGGUUCUGAGAGGAAGGUCCCCCACAUUGGAACUGAGACACGGUCCAAACUCCUACGGGAGGCAGCAGUGAGGAAUAUUGGUCAAUGGGCGAGAGCCUGAACCAGCCAAGUAGCGUGCAGGACGACGGCCCUAUGGGUUGUAAACUGCUUUUAUAAGGGAAUAAAGUGAGUCUCGUGAGACUUUUUGCAUGUACCUUAUGAAUAAGGACCGGCUAAUUCCGUGCCAGCAGCCGCGGUAAUACGGAAGGUCCGGGCGUUAUCCGGAUUUAUUGGGUUUAAAGGGAGCGUAGGCCGGAGAUUAAGCGUGUUGUGAAAUGUAGUGGCUCAACCUCUGCACUGCAGCGCGAACUGGUCUUCUUGAGUACGCACAACGUGGGCGGAAUUCGUGGUGUAGCGGUGAAAUGCUUAGAUAUCACGAAGAACUCCGAUUGCGAAGGCAGCUCACGGGAGCGCAACUGACGCUGAAGCUCGAAAGUGCGGGUAUCGAACAGGAUUAGAUACCCUGGUAGUCCGCACGGUAAACGAUGGAUGCCCGCUGUUGGCCUGAAUAGGUCAGCGGCCAAGCGAAAGCAUUAAGCAUCCCACCUGGGGAGUACGCCGGCAACGGUGCAACUCAAAUGAAUUGACGGA